GACGAACGCUGGCGGCGUGCUUAACACAUGCAAGUCGAACGGAAAGGCCCUGCUUUUGUGGGGUGCUCGAGUGGCGAACGGGUGAGUAACACGUGAGUAACCUGCCCUUGACUUUGGGAUAACUUCAGGAAACUGGGGCUAAUACCGGAUAGGAGCUCCUGCUGCAUGGUGGGGGUUGGAAAGUUUCGGCGGUUGGGGAUGGACUCGCGGCUUAUCAGCUUGUUGGUGGGGUGGUGGCUUACCAAGGCUUUGACGGGUAGCCGGCCUGAGAGGGUGACCGGCCACAUUGGGACUGAGAUACGGCCCAGACUCCUACGGGAGGCAGAAGUGGGGAAUAUUGCACAAUGGGCGGAAGCCUGAUGCAGCAACGCCGCGUGCGGGAUGACGGCCUUCGGGUUGUAAACCGCUUUCGCCUGUGACGAAGCGUGAGUGACGGUAAUGGGUAAAGAAGCACCGGCUAACUACGUG
rnacentral:rRNA from 1 species